rnacentral:lncRNA from 1 species
AUUUAUCAAUUCAAUCACCCCAGAGAUAUUGGUUUGUGAGUUUUGGAGAAAAAGUAACACAUCAUCUGCAUAAAGGCUGAUUUUAUGUUCUACAUUCUUGCAUUUUAUGCCCUUAAUUACUGAAUUCUGUCUAAUUGCUGCUGCUAGUGGCUCAAUAAAAAUUGCAAACAGUGAGUGCACUGGUCUUGAAUGUCAGCAAGCCAGAAGUCGUGCACCAGCUCCAGAUCCUUCACUCGGAUCCGCAACGGCUGGAGAGAAUUGUUGAUUCAGGUGCAAUCUUAGUAGCCACAAUAUCCUUGCCUGUGAAGCCAUUUCUAUGCAACGCAGUGAUGGCUGCACGCGUUUCUUUGCAGGUCACCAUGGUUAACAAUGGAAGAACAAUGAUUUCAAGCAUCACCCUCCUUUUAACAUGUCAGGUCUGCCAUUCUAACCCAAUCAGCCUGACAUAAUGAUCUCCAGCCUUGUGCUCGUCAACAUUCUCACCCGAGUUAACAAGACGAUUACUGAAACAAAUCCCGGUCAUGGCAAAACCUGUUUUCAGUUUUCUCUUUUGUUCUGCCUCUUUUCUGCAGAAAUUCUGCUGAUUUACCUCUUUUCUGCAAAAUUUUCAGCCUUUUCACCUCUUCUCAGCACAAUUCUCAGCAGCUUCUGCUCAUUUUAGCAGAAUUGUCGGUCUCUCCUCCUCUUUUUUGAGAGAGUGAGUUUAGCUCAGUGAGAUGAGUAGCUGCUUUGAGCCUGGUAGGGCCAGGUUCAAAUCCUGCUCAGGACAAUUUUUUUUUUUCACCACCAUACAACUUUUUGCAACUUUUCAUCUUUUUCAGCUUUUCAGCAGACAGCUUCAGCGUUAAGGCAUCCACACAGCAUUUUCGCAGGAAAUGCAAAUUUUUCUAGUUAUUCUAGUUGCCACUUUUUGUACGUUUUUUGGCACUUAACUACUUUAACAAUUUUCAGCCGAUUUUCACCGUUCAAAUUUUAAACUAUUCUGCUAUUUCUGCUAAUGAUGGCUAUGACUUUUGGUAUUUUAUGCUAUUAUACUUUUUAAAAUAUUAAGCUUUUUUCCUUUAAUUUGUCCCAUUGAAAUGAAUGGAAAACUUCCAAAAUUCUGCUAAAACUUGCUUGUUUUUGAAACUUAACUACUUUUUCAUACUUUCGCCUAGAACAACCAUUCAAAUUUUAAAAUGUUCACAAAUUAUUGGGCUAUUCAUGAAUGAUUCAGCUUUUUCAUAUCUGUUACCAUUUUAAUCUUAUCCCUCUUUAAGUUUUGAGUUUCAUUUUUGUGAUUUUUCACAAAAUACAUGCGUUGUUAUGGUUGCUAUGCACUUGGCUUUCAGUGUGCCACUGAAGGUUUUGCAGUCUUCUCUUCAUGUCCGAACAACUUCUUGCUACUUGCUCAAUCUUCACUCCACUUCCACAAAUUAUACAUCAAAACGUAGGUAUUUUUGCUGGCU